UACAGAGGUCUCGAGCGUUAAUCGGAGUCACUGGGCUUAAAGGGUGCGUAGGCCGGUCUGUAAGUGCCUUGUGAAAUCCCAUGGCUCAACCAUGGAAUUGCUCGGUAGACUGCAGGCCUUGAGGUCGGUAGGGGCAGCCGGAACUCUAGGUGGAGCGGUGAAAUGCGUAGAUAUCUAGAGGAACGCCGAAGGUGAAGACAGGCUGCUGGGCCGAUUCUGACGCUGAGGCACGAAAGCGUGGGGAG
rnacentral:rRNA from 1 species